GCUUGCUGAAAGCAUCCUAAUUCUAAGUAAGCUGCUGCCCGGUUGCAAUAGUAAGUUGCAUUUGUUCCAGUCAAAUUAAUAGCUUCAGUGUAGUAAUUAGCAGCCUUAUUCCACUGCUUUCCCUUAAAUGCAGCAUUCCCCUUUUCUUUCAGAAGUUCAGAGGCAUCCAUAUUUCCAUUGGUAUAUGGAAGUGGUGCAGAAUUAGAAACAAUGUCAACUUGCUCUUGAAGAGAUGUGUACAUGUCCAAAACAGUAUCAAGAAGAAACUUAUCAGCUCCAUGGUACGAGAUAAAUGAAACAGAGAUGGGGCAACCAUCAUGCUUUCCCAAGGGAACGGUAACCUGACAACAAGCAGACAUGCUUGCGAUGCUUGAUGGUAUCAAUGCUCUAUCAUGAGCCUCUGCAGGAUACCCUUUCUUUGCAUUAAGCCUAAAGGGAGGAUCUGCAACUGUGGGAAUAACCAACAUUCCAUCGUCCUUUAAGAGACUUUGAACACAAGCUUGCGUCUCAGUCCGGAUUUUGUAUAACGUCUUUACGUUCUCCUGUUUAGUAUUAAUAGCUGCAACAACAUGAUUAGAGACAUCAGGUGCUAACUUGGGUUUCACUGAUUUAACCCAUUCUUCAUGGUUUGUUUUGAAUUCACAUCUUUGUAAUGAAACCAUCACAGAAGAGAGAGCUUUCAGAGUAGAUGUUCCAUUUUCCAGGUUUGUAGAUUCUCCACGGAACCCUUUAAGACUCGGUACAUUGGAAGCAAUAUACUGAUCCAAGUUAAUAUGCUUUGGAGGCUGGUACCCAGACAGAUUU
rnacentral:misc_RNA from 1 species